GCCAGCCCGCUCAGAAACUAAAGGAAUUGACGGGGGCCCGCACAAGCGGUGGAGCAUGUGGUUUAAUUCGAUGAUACGCGAGGAACCUUACCUGGGCUCAAAUGUAUGUUGACGUUAUUCUGAAAGGGAUACUUCUUCGGACAAUAUACAAGGUGCUGCAUGGUUGUCGUCAGCUCGUGCCGUGAGGUGUCGGGUUAAGUCCCAUAACGAGCGCAACCCCUACUGCUAGUUGCCAGCGGGUCAUGCCGGGGACUCUAGCGGAACUGCCAGCGUAAGCUGCGAGGAAGGUGGGGAUGACGUCAAAUCAGCACGGCCCUUACGUCCAGGGCUACACACGUGUUACAAUGGCCAGUACAGAGGGCAGCCACCCCGCGAGGGGCGCUAAUCCUAAAAGCUGGUCCCAGUUCGGAUCGGAGUCUGCAACCCGACUCCGUGAAGCUGGAUUCGCUAGUAAUCGCGCAUCAGCCACGGCGCGGUGAAUACGUUCCCGGGCCUU
rnacentral:rRNA from 1 species